GAUGAUGAACGCAGCGAAAUGCGAUAAGUAGUGUGAAUUGCAGAAUUCAGUGAAUCAUCGAAUCUUUGAACGCACAUUGCGCCCCUUGGUAUUCCAUGGGGCAUGCCUGUUCGAGCGUCAUUUGUACCUUCAAGCCUUGCUUGGUGUUGGGUGUUUGUCUCGCCUCUGCGCGCAGACUCGCCUCAAAACAAUUGGCAGCCGGCGUAUUGAUUUCGGAGCGCAGUACAUCUCGCGCUUUGCACUCAGAACGACGACGUCCAAAAGUACAUUUUUACACUCUUGACCUCGGAUCAGGUAGGGAUACCCGCUGAACUUAAGCAUAUCAAUAAGCGGAGGA
rnacentral:misc_RNA from 1 species